GAUGAAGAACGCAGCGAAAUGCGAUAAGUAAUGUGAAUUGCAGAAUUCAGUGAAUCAUCGAAUCUUUGAACGCACAUUGCGCCCGCCAGUAUUCUGGCGGGCAUGCCUGUUCGAGCGUCAUUUCAACCAUCAAGCCCCCGGCUUGUGUUGGGGACCUGCGGCUGCCGCAGGCCCUGAAAAGCAGUGGCGGGCUCGCUGUCACACCGAGCGUAGUAGCAUACAUCUCGCUCUGGGCGUGCUGCGGGUUCCGGCCGUUAAACCACCUUCAUAACCCAAGGUUGACCUCGGAUCAGGUAGGAAGACCCGCUGAACUUAAGCAUAUCAAUAAGCGGAG
rnacentral:misc_RNA from 1 species